ACGCUGGCGGCAUGCCUAACACAUGCAAGUCGAACGAAGGCUUCGGCCUUAGUGGCGCACGGGUGCGUAACGCGUGGGAAUCUGCCCCUUGGUUCGGAAUAACAGUUGGAAACGACUGCUAAUACCGGAUGAUGACGUAAGUCCGAAGAUUUAUCGCCGAGGGAUGAGCCCGCGUAGGAUUAGGUAGUUGGUGUGGUAAAGGCGCACCAAGCCGACGAUCCUUAGCUGGUCUGAGAGGAUGAUCAGCCACACUGGGACUGAGACACGGCCCAGACUCCUACGGGAGGCAGCAGUGGGGAAUAUUGGACAAUGGGCGAAAGCCUGAUCCAGCAAUGCCGCGUGAGUGAUGAAGGCCUUAGGGUUGUAAAGCUCUUUUACCCGGGAUGAUAAUGACAGUACCGGGAGAAUAAGCUCCGGCUAACUCCGUGCCAGCAGCCGCGGUAAUACGGAGGGAGCUAGCGUUAUUCGGAAUUACUGGGCGUAAAGCGCACGUAGGCGGCUUUGUAAGUAAGAGGUGAAAGCCCAGAGCUCAACUCUGGAAUUGCCUUUUAGACUGCAUCGCUUGAAUCAUGGAGAGGUCAGUGGAAUUCCGAGUGUAGAGGUGAAAUUCGUAGAUAUUCGGAAGAACACCAGUGGCGAAGGCGGCUGACUGGACAUGUAUUGACGCUGAGGUGCGAAAGCGUGGGGAGCAAAC
rnacentral:rRNA from 1 species